GACGAACGCUGGCGGCGUGCCUAAUACAUGCAAAUAGAACGCUGAAGAGAGGAGCUUGCUCUUCUUGGAUGAGUUGCGAACGGGUGAGUAACGCGUAGGUAACCUGCCUGGUAGCGGGGGAUAACUAUUGGAAACGAUAGCUAAUACCGCAUAAAAUUGAUUAUCGCAUGAUAAUUAAUUGAAAGAUGCAAUUGCAUCACUACCAGAUGGACCUGCGUUGUAUUAGCUAGUUGGUGAGGUAACGGCUCACCAAGGCGACGAUACAUAGCCGACCUGAGAGGGUGAUCGGCCACACUGGGACUGAGACACGGCCCAGACUCCUACGGGAGGCAGCAGUAGGGAAUCUUCGGCAAUGGGGGGAACCCUGACCGAGCAACGCCGCGUGAGUGAAGAAGGUUUUCGGAUCGUAAAGCUCUGUUGUAAGAGAAGAACGGAUGUGAGAGUGGAAAGUUCACACUGUGACGGUAUCUUACCAGAAAGGGACGGCUAACUACGUGCCAGCAGCCGCGGUAAUACGUAGGUCCCGAGCGUUGUCCGGAUUUAUUGGGCGUAAAGCGAGCGCAGGCGGUUAGAUAAGUCUGAAGUUAAAGGCUGUGGCUUAACCAUAGUAUGCU
rnacentral:rRNA from 1 species